CAUCAGGAGGCAAAAGUGCCUUCACGACAGCGUCUUUAACUGCACUGAGCAAAUCAAGGUCAAGUAAAAGUGGGUCAGCAAAGAACAUGACAGCCCCAGCCCUGUAAAGGAAACUUCCAUGGUGCGCUGUAGGCCCAAAGCUACAUCUCAGCCUCGCAGGGGUCUGACUCCACUGCAUUUGGAGGACCUGCGUCCAAGAGACUUUUCCUUACCAGCUGUGCAACACUCAAUCGCAUCUUGUCUUCUGGCAGGAGUCCAGACAUGGGCUGGGUUCCGUGUGCAAGCUGCGGCACAGCCAUGAGCACCACGCCGCCAAGGGCACAUACGAACACAGUCACCAGCCCAGGGUGCACACAAACCCCCAAGCACCGCUUGGCUCCAGAGAAGGAAAAGAGCACCGGUCGCAGCAUGUUGUGCCUGCCUCAGAGCUAAAGAAAAGUAAAGUCCAGUUAAAAAUACUCCACUGUGUUCCAGGAAAGAAGAUCAUCUUUAGUGAAUAAACACAUUAAAUAAAAAAAUGAAUCAAAGUUAAAAAUU